rnacentral:rRNA from 1 species
UACGAAGGGGGCUAGCGUUGCUCGGAAUCACUGGGCGUAAAGCGCACGUAGGCGGACGAUUAAGUCAGAGGUGAAAGCCUGGAGCUCAACUCCAGAACUGCCUUUGAUACUGGUUGUCUUGAGUUCGGAAGAGGUUGGUGGAACUGCGAGUGUAGAGGUGAAAUUCGUAGAUAUUCGCAAGAACACCGGUGGCGAAGGCGGCCAACUGGUCCAGUACUGACACUCAAGUGCGAAAGCGUGGGGAGAAAACAGG